CCUACGGGGGGCUGCAGCAAGGAAUUUUCGUCAAUGGGCGCAAGCCUGAACGAGCAACGUCGCGUGGUGGAUGACGGCCUUCGGGUUGUAAACACCUUUUGUGAGGGACGAUGAUGACGGUACCUCACGAAUAAGCCCCGGCUAACUCCGUGCCAGCAGCCGCGGUAAGACGGAGGGGGCAAGCGUUGUCCGGACUCACUGGGCGUAAAGGGUGCGUAGGCGGUUCUGUGCGUCCGCGCUGAAAUCUGUCGGCUCAACCGGCAGGCGCGGGCGGA
rnacentral:rRNA from 1 species